GUCUCGGUAACUCAGUGGUAGAGUGUGCGAUUGCAGAUCGCAAUGUCCGGUGUUCGAACCACCGUCGGGACU
rnacentral:tRNA from 1 species